rnacentral:lncRNA from 1 species
GGCAAGUGAAUAUAUGCCUUUAUGUCUCCUAAGUUCCUGGAAAUGACCAAAGUUCUAGUUUGUAGAUUUGGUUAAUAUAUUAGCUUUCCAUUGCUGUGACAAAAUACCUAAGAAAAACAAUUUUAAGGAGGAAAGAUGUAUUUUAGCACAUGGUUUCAGAGAUUCAGUCCACAGUUGUUGGCCCCAUCUCUGUGGGCUUAUGGUGAAGCAGAACAUCAUGGUAAAGAGGGUAUGCUGGAGCAAAGCUGCUCACCUCAAUGACAGACAGAGGGAGGAAGGGACUGGGGCAAAGAUGUAGAACACAAGGGCACACUCCCAAGGAUCCAUUCUGUUCAACUAUGUCCCACUCCUACAGGUUCCACCACUUCCCAGUAGUCCAUUCAGCUAUGGAUUAAUCUAUUGGUGAGAUUAGAGCUCUUGUGAUCAAAUCUCUUCUGAAAAGUCCCACCACUGUAGUAGAGUGGGAACCAAACUUUCAACACAUGAGCCUUUGGAGGACAUUUCAUAUCUGAACUGUAGUAAUUGGUUAUUUCUGUAGUCCUUAACCUUGCUAGAAAUUAGAAAAGGGUAGAAUCAGCCUGGUAGAAAUUUUGAGAAAACUCUUAGAGCCUAAAGAAACCUAGUCCAGAGAAAAUACAAGCCAGGUGCAGUGAUGCUUGCCUGGAAUGGCUUGCCAGGAGGCUGAGGCAGAAAGAUCAAAAAGCCAGCCUCAGCAACUUAGUUACACAUUGUCUCAAGAAGGGCUGAGGAUGUGCCUCAGUGGUAAAGUAACCCUGGGUUCAAUCCCCAGAACCUAAAAAAAGAAAAGGUAGAAAGAAAAUAGAAGAGGAAAUUCUUCAAGUGCAAUUCCAGAGAUUUCAAACUUAGAAUCAGCAAAUUCAAAGAGGUUGAG